CCUACGGGAGGCAGCAGUGAGGAAUAUUGGUCAAUGGGCGGGAGCCUGAACCAGCCAAGCCGCGUGAAGGAAGAAGGUACUUAGUAUUUUAAACUUCUUUUGUCAGGGCACAAAGACUGAGACUCGUCCCCGGAUGAGUGUACCCGAAGAAAAAGCAUCGGCUAACUCCGUUCCAUCAGCCGCGGUAAUACGGAGGAUGCGAGGGUUGUCCGGAUUGAUUGGGUUGAAAGGGGGGGAAGGGGGCCUGUUAAGUCAGCGGUAAAAGCCCGGGGUUAAACCCGGGCGAGCCGUUGAAACUGGCAGUCUUGAGUUGGCGAGAGGUAUGCGGAAUGCGAGGUGUAGCGGUGAAAUGCGUAGAUAUUGGGAAGAACUCCGAUUGCGAAGGCAGCAUGCCGGC
rnacentral:rRNA from 1 species